UACACGCAGUCUGCGGUUGUUUGGCCGGUUGGACGUACUGCCUAAUUCUCUAAAGCGAUGUUGAAGGCAUUCAAUUCUUUGGCAACAGCUCUGGUGGACAUUCCUGCAGGCAGCAUGCCAAUUGUACACUCCCUCAAGAUCUCUAAGCUUGUGUUAACUUCAGACAUUAUUUGCUGCAUUUAUUCCAAAACCCUAUAGAGUAGCACAGUAUGUCAUAAUACCCAUAAAACCUAGUGGUCAAACAGGGAAAUUCUUCCAAUUGUUUUUCCACCAUUCAUUUUUCCCAUAGGUGAUUUUGGAAACACUUAAAAUAAUGGCUGGAUUUUGUGUAGGCAUACCCUGGCAUGACGUUUUGAUAACCGUGUAAAUCUUACUUUUAUCCAUAUUUGCCCUGUAUUUACCCCCACAAAACGAGACUGUCGAAUCGAGGCAAAGGUAAGAAUCUCUGUAUUAACUAUCUAAUGUUAGAUAAAUGUAGUAAUGAAUAAAUGUGGAAACAAUUAUUUAAAUGGACAAUUCUGUGAUCUGUCUUGUGCAAGUUUUAAAUUGACACAAUAAUUGUUAGCAAAGGUGUCCGCUAGAGAUGGCGUGCAGGAGCUUUCAGAGAUUUGUGGUUUUGCAUGAUGUUUGAUUCGAAAAUGCUAAUUAGCAUAAAAGUAGAGUAAAUACAGCCGAAUAUAUUGAUAAAAGUCACCUUGUCCGAGAGCGCUUUAAAUGGUUAUCAAAACGUCACCUCCACUAUUCUUUCGCCAUUAAUUUUGCUCAUAGGGAUGGCUGAGCGAACCAGAGGUAACUCAUUUCCGGGUUGUAGGACUCAAAGCUGGCGAGCUCUGUUGCUCGGCAAUAUUGCCUCAAAGAAUUAUCAUGGCCUUUAUGUAUGCCGUUGACCAAGCAUGUUAGCGUUGCAAUCUGACUUUGUUGCCUUAUUAAGGCCAUGUUGCAAGUUAAAUUUGCCAAUAUAAAUAGAUUAUACACCAAUUGUAGAUGGCAAAAACAUUUGCCCUGGCUGCCAAAGAAAGAACUGAGAAGGGUAGUAAACGCCCCCUCAAGUGCAUGCAUGUGAUUUUGCGUGUGACGCUCAUUAAGUGAAAACGAGCUGAAUGUGGACAACAUCUGGUGAAGAUGCUAGUUCUACAAACAAGUGGCUAUUACUCCUCGGCCUGAAGUCCUAAUAUAAAACGAACAUGAUCUGCUUGAAGAUGAAGAGGGAGUUGGAUCACUAGAAAGCAGCAUGCAGACUGAUCAGGGCCCGUAUUCACGAAGCAUCUCAGAGUAGGAGUACUGAUUUUAGGAUCAGUUUUGCCUUUUAUGUAAGGGGAGCUGGUCCUAGAUCACUGUUCCUACUCUGAAGACGCUUUGUGAAUACAGGCCCGGGAAGAAAGCUGUUGCCCAAUACCUUGCACAACAGUCUUUCACCACACGACCCCAGAGGCCACUGCAUGCUGUGAAAUGGGCUUGGAUGGUAACGCAUCUUCAAGCUUCCUGACUGAAUAUUGGGGUCUUCAGUGGUUCUGGAAGCAAGGGCCUUACCUGGGAGUACAGCAACAGUCUCGCAGCCAUUCUGUCAACAUGUAUAGUACGGAACCCACUCAAACUCAUAUAAACUGCUACGGACGCCAGCACUGAUUUAUAUUUACUUUGUCCCAUUCUUUAAUCUUGUUUGAGAUAUAUAUUUUAGUUGAGACACCUGUAUGAGAGAGAUUAUUAAAAAUGUGUUCACUUUAAAUCUCAAGCUCUACGUGGAUUUGUCUUGAUGUUUAACUUAUCACAAAAGUUAGUACAAA